GACGAACGCUGGCGGCGUGCUUAACACAUGCAAGUCGAACGGAAAGGCCCUGCUUUUGUGGGGUGCUCGAGUGGCGAACGGGUGAGUAACACGUGAGUAACCUGCCCUUGACUUUGGGAUAACUUCAGGAAACUGGGGCUAAUACCGGAUAGGAGCUCCUGCUGCAUGGUGGGGGUUGGAAAGUUUCGGCGGUUGGGGAUGGACUCGCGGCUUAUCAGCUUGUUGGUGGGGUAGUGGCUUACCAAGGCUUUGACGGGUAGCCGGCCUGAGAGGGUGACCGGCGACACUGGGACUGAGAGACGGCCCAGACGCCGAAGGGAGGCAGCAGGGGGGAAUAUUGAACAAGGGGCGGAAGCCGGAUGCAGCAACGCCGCGUGCGGGAUGACGGCCUUCGGGUUGUAAACCGAUUUCGCCUGUGACGAAGCGUGAGUGACGGGAAUGGGUAAAGAAGCACCGGCUAACUACGUGC
rnacentral:rRNA from 1 species